GGGGCUGUUUGGUUUUGACAGCAUGUAGAGUGGGCGUGUAAGCAUGUCGAGCGAUGUUAUCACGGCUCGUAAAUCCCGGAUUUCACUAAAUUUAACUGGCAACAACAACUAUGCACUCGCUGCUUAAACCGAAGUACAGUAGGUUAGCUUUAUUUUAGCACAAGGUGCUGAAACGAGUCAUCUCCCCAAUGCCGUUUCUCUGAGGCUUUUGGAACCGGAGGUGCAGGAAUAUCGGAGAUAGCCCUCGCAGGCCCUGAUGUGGAGGCGAAUCCUAAAAGGGAUAAGGCGCAGGUUGGUGGCUUCGGUCUUGCCGGCGCACGAAAAUCAAGGCGAAGAUAAGCAUGUAGAAAG
rnacentral:tmRNA from 1 species